AGAAGAGGCCCUAACGAUGCCGACAUAUGGAUUGGCGCUGACCACAGCGCAACUCAGCAGGUCCAAAAUGGGAUAUCUCGACAUCGAGGUGGCUAUCAACAACAACACCUUAACAGCAGCGGUCCGCAGAGGACCACUGUGCCAACCGGUCGUCAUACCAAGCUGGUCCCCAGACUCACUAUCGAGCGGGGGGGCUGCAUUUCGAGCAUUUUUCGGAAGAGCAUACAGGUGCUGCGCCGCGGACGGGAGGCUUGGGGAGGAACUUGAAUACAUAUACAGAGUGGGUGGGAAGCACGGAUGCGGGCUGGGCCUCG
rnacentral:lncRNA from 1 species